UACGAAGGGGGCUAGCGUUGCUCGGAAUCACUGGGCGUAAAGCGCACGUAGGCGGCUUCUUAAGUCAGGGGUGAAAUCCUGGAGCUCAACUCCAGAACUGCCUUUGAUACUGAGGAGCUUGAGUCCGGGAGAGGUGAGUGGAACUGCGGGUGUAGAGGUGAAAUUCGUAGAUAUUCGCAAGAACACCAGUGGCGAAGGCGGCUCACUGGCCCGGUACUGACGCUGAGGUGCGAAAGCGUGGGGAGCAAACAGG
rnacentral:rRNA from 1 species